rnacentral:lncRNA from 1 species
CUCUGAGAUAAGUGAAUUGGGAUUUUAGUGGAUUGUUUAAGAUUCGAGGUUGUUUGUUUGUUGACUUCUCUUUUGCUUUUUCCAAAUUACAUAUUGUUCUGGUGGAUCACUAGUAAAAUUGGAUUGUGUUUUUGGUGGAGUAGUUAGACCUUCUUUCUUGGAUAUAUAGAGAUGGGUUUGAGUGUUUUAUUUAGUAGUACAACUUAGCGAGAACCCUUCACUUUGUAGAUUCCGUUUUGGGCCAGGGACAGAAAGUUUGAGGAUUUUUUUCCCCUUGCUAAUGGCAUUGAGCGAGAAAAAUCCUAUGGUUGUUGCCCAUAUUUUGAUUGGGAUGGUUUUGGUUUUGCUGAGUAGUAGAAUAUCUGUGAGUAAUGCUACUGAGACUGAUUUAGCGUGCUUGAAAUCCAUCAAAGCUUCUCUGGUGGACCCUAAUAACUACUUGAACACUACAUGGAAUUUCAACAACAAUACUGAAGGCUUCAUAUGUAGAUUUAUGGGCAUUGAUUGCUGGCACCCUGACGAGAACAGAGUUCUAAAUAUCCGCCUUUCAGACUUGGGUCUUGAGGGCCAGUUCCCCCUUGGAAUCAAGAAUUGCACAAGCUUGACUGGCUUGGAUCUUUCGCACAACAAGCUAUCUGGCUCAAUCCCUGAUAAUAUCUCAGAUCUUAUCCACUAUAUUACAAACCUUGAUCUUUCAUUCAACAAUUUUUCGGGUGGAAUUCCAAAAAAUCUUGCAAAUUGUAGUUUCUUGAAUGAUCUCAAACUUGACAACAACCGGCUAACAGGCAAGAUUCCGCUGGAACUUGGCCUUCUUGAUCGGAUCAAGGAAUUUACGGUUACCAACAAUCUUCUAUCAGGGCAGAUCCCCUCAUUUGUCCAUAAUAACAUCCCAGCUGAUAGCUUUGCAAAUAAUCUGGACCUCUGUGGAAAGCCAUUGAGUACCUGUCCAGCUGUCGCGAGGAAAUCCCAUGUUGGAGUAAUUGCUGCAUCAGCCGCUGGCGGGAUAACAUUUACAUCAAUUAUUGUUGGUGUCUUUCUGUUCUACUUGUCUCGCGGAGCGGCUAAGAAGAAGGCGGAGGAUCCUGAAGGUAACAGAUGGGCAAAGAGCAUCAAGGGAACCAAAGGCAUCAAGGCAAGCUAUCUAGCUCAUCAUGUUCAAUGGAUAUACUGUGUUUUUUUCUGGCACAGGAAUUGAAUUUCUGUUCUUUUUUUCUGGCCAUGUUAACCCAUCAAUGAUUUCAUUUUUUUAUUUGACGCAACAAAAUAUCUAACAGCAAAGAUUCUGUUAUCAACAGGUUUCCAUGUUUGAGAAAUCGGUUUCAAAAAUGAGAUUGAGUGAUCUCAUGAAGGCAACCAACGACUUCAGUAAUAACAACAUCAUUGGAGCCGGAAGAACAGGACCAAUGUACAAGGCAGUGAUUUCUGAUGGUUGCUUCCUUAUGGUUAAGAGAUUGCAAGACUCUCAGCGUUUAGAGAAAGAGUUUGUAUCAGAGAUGAAGACACUUGGGAAUGUGAAACACCGUAAUUUGGUCCCGCUGCUGGGCUUUUGUGUAGCAAAGAGGGAGAGAUUUUUGGUGUAUAAAUUCAUGGAAAAUGGGACCCUUUAUGAUAAACUGCACCCAGUGGAACCUGAGAUCAGGAACAUGGAUUGGUCCCUGAGGCUCAAAAUUGCAAUUGGAGCGGCUAGAGGUUUGGCAUGGCUUCAUCAUAACUGCAAUCCACGAAUUAUCCACAGGAACAUAAGCUCCAAAUGCAUACUCUUGGAUAACGAUUUUGAGCCAAAGUUAUCUGAUUUUGGCCUUGCCAGACUUAUGAACCCAAUCGACACACAUUUGAGCACUUUCGUCAAUGGGGAGUUUGGGGACAUGGGUUAUGUUGCUCCUGAAUAUCUACGGACACUUGUUGCAACGCCCAAGGGGGAUGUUUAUAGCUUUGGUGUGGUUCUCCUGGAGUUGAUCACUGGUGAAAAGCCCACUCAUGUUGCUAAUGCCCCUGAAAGCUUCAAGGGAAGUUUAGUGGAGUGGAUCAGACAACUGACAGAUGGUCCGCUUCUUCAUACUUCCAUUGACAAGCCUUUGCUUGGAAAUGGAUUCGAUCACGAACUCAACCAAUUUCUUAAAGUUGCUUGUAACUGUGUGGUUGAGAAUGCUAAGGAGAGACCAACAAUGUUUGAGGUGCAUCAGCUCCUCAGAGCUAUUGGGGAGAGAUACCAUUUCACAACUGAAGAUGAUAUUGUGUUGCCAACUGAUACAGGUGACACUGAUUUCCCGGAUGAACUUAUUGUUGCCGAUGCAACAAAGGAAGUUUAAUGAAGAACAGAGGUUAAGAUUGAUNNNNNNNNNNNNNNNNNNNNNNNNNNNNNNNNNNNNNNNNNNNNNNNNNNNNNNNNNNNNNNNNNNNNNNNNNNNNNNNNNNNNNNNNNNNNNNNNNNNNNNNNNNNNNNNNNNNNNNNNNNNNNNNNNNNNNNNNNNNNNNNNNNNNNNNNNNNNNNNNNNNNNNNNNNNNNGCUCAUUUAUCCUCGUACAUAGACAAUUUCUUUGUUGGAUAUUGAGAAUCGAUAAAUAAACUUGCUUAAGUAGUCGAGGUGUUUGUCUGUAAGCCUUUCGGUUUUCUAGUAUUUUCUUUUUAUUUUUCCCCCCAAAGUGAUAUUGUAUCAUAAGCAAGUAUGCAACUUUAUUACUCAGUAAUUUCAAGCAUCCGAGUAUUGUUGCCUGGCCUGGACCCAAAAAGCAGAAUAAGGAGAUCCUUUGUCACCAUGAGGAAGAGUAAUAUUUUUUUUAGAAAUUCUCCAGUUCUUAUAUUUUAUUUUUCUUACAAAAAAAAUACUAAACUUAAAGUUUUUAGUCCAUGUUUUUUUUACAAUGAAUACAGUUACAAACUAGUCCCCAAUAAAAAAAAAUUUCAAUUUAGUGAAGUAGCAUGUCGUUUAACUAAAACUUAGUAGCAUGUCGUUUGACUGAAACUUUUAGUAUCCAAUAAAAAAUGGGAAUGCCAUUUCUGAAGAAUAGAAGGUUUAAGAAUAUGAGAACAAUUGUUUAGGCAAGACUCCUAAAUUUACUCUCGUAUUUGUGUUAAUUAUUCAUUUUUAUUCUUAUGUUUUUUAUUAUGUUUUGUAAAUUUUUUCAGUUAAUCCUAGUGAUUUCUAAUUUUUUCUAAUAAACCCAGUAAUUAACUUACAUUAAGUCUUGAUUUUACUAUGCAUGUCGAUGUAACUUUAUUUAUUUUUCACUCUUGUAUUUUUAAUUCGAUCAAUUAACUUUUGUGUUUUUUGAAGUAGUUUUUUUAAUCAUUGUGUUCUCUGAACGUGUUGGCUUUGACUCAAUACCUGGUUUUUAAAAGGGUGCUGAUUAUUUUUUUAGAUGUUUUUUAAAAGUAUUUUUUUAAUAUAAAAUUAAUAUUUUUUUUAGUGUUUUUUAAUAAUUUUAAUGUAUUUAUAUUAAAAAAUAAAAAAAUUAUUUUAUUAUAUUUUCAAAUAAAAAACACUCUGCAUCAAAGUAUUAAAUACACUCUAAUAAGAAUAUGUUUGAUAUUGUAGUAACAAUUGUUUUUCAAAAUGUUUUUUAUUUGAAAUAUAUCAAAAUUAUAUUUUUUAUAAAAAAAAUUAUUUUUAAUAUUAACAUAUUAAAAUAAUUUAAAAACACUAAAAAUUUAAUUUAAAAUUAAAAAAAUAAUUGUUUUCAAAAAUAGUUUUAAAAUACAAAGUCUACGCUACGGCUUCAUGUUAACCAUGCAUGUUAAUAGUGUUGAAAUUAAAUACUUUUUAUCGCGAGAUGACUUUUAUAUUCAUAUGGGNNNNNNNNNNNNNNNNNNNNNNNNNNNNNNNNNNNNNNNNNNNNNNNNNNNNNNNNNNNNNNNNNNNNNNNNNNNNNNNNNNNNNNNNNNNNNNNNNNNNNNNNNNNNNNAACACACGCAUGAUAUUUCAUUGUCUCGAAGAAAAAAAUAAAGAGACAGACUGGCGGCUAUGAGAAAUCCAGCGUGAGAGGAAAGAGAGGAGAAACUGCAUUGCUUUGCACUUUGCAGAGUUGAUCAUCCCAGGAUUGGACACGCAACCAAUGGCAGUCAAUGCCAUGAUUGCCGCGAAGAAAUGACAGGGAGCCAAAAAAAUGUUAGAACGUAGAGGACCAGAUUAUAAUUAAUAAGUAUUUUUGUCGAAAAAAAUGUUAUUUGUAACAAUGUUUUAUAUUUACCGGAAAGUAAUUUUUUUAGAGAGUGAUUUUUUUUAGAAAAUAGAUUUUUCAACAAAAAUUAUUUUUUAAUAUUUAAUAGGAUCAUAAAAAAAAUAAGUUGGAAAAUAUUUUUAGUAUUUGGUUAUGUAAUAAAAAAUAAGUUGGAAAACAUCUUAUUAAUAAAUGUUUUUUAAGUUUAUUAAAAUAAUAAGAAAUAAAUCUUACAAAUAAAAAAUUUGAAUAAGAAUAAAAUUUUAAAAAAUAUAUCUAAUUUCAUAAAUUAUUUUACAUAAAAUAAAUAAUAAUUAAAAUAAUAAAGAUCAAGUGUAAUAGAUAAAAAAUUAAAAAAUUAAAAAAUUAAAAAAAAUACAAUGAAAAAAAGUUAAAGCUGUUGAUGAUUUAUCCCAUUAUAUUUAUCCAAUUAUUAAGAUUUUAUAAAUUAUUUUAAAUAAAAUAAAUAACAAUCAAAAGAAUAAAGAUUAAAUCUGAUAGAUAAAAAGUUUCAAUUAAAAAUAUAUAUAAUAAUCAAAAAUUAGAGAACUAAAUUUGAUAUAGUCAGUAAAUAACAUGACAUUUCUAAAUUUUUUACAACUUCUGAAAAAUAUUUUUCCGUCUAAAAUAGAAAGAACAUAUUUUUUCCGAAAACAAAGCUAAUUUUUUUAAAAAAAAUAUUUUUUAUUUAUUAACUUUUUUAAUAAUAAAUACACACAUAAAAGUUUUAAAAAAUAAUUUUAAAAAACCACUUUCUAUGAAAGUAACCUUGACAGUGAAAUCAUCGUUAUUAAAUAACUGCCUUUGUUAUAAAAAAAUAUCAUAUGAAAUUUUAUUGUCUCGGAUCUGUAAAUAAACGUCAUUUUAUGUUUAUUUUUUCAUUUUUUUUUAUCACCACAUCCUUAAAAAUUAAAAAUUUAUGUGUCAUGUUUUUACAUCAUGAAUUUUUUGUUAUGUAUAUCUUGAUUAGAGAUGAGAAAAAAACUGAAAAACCGAUUAAACCUAGAUAACUAGAAAAAAAAUAAUUAAAAAAACCAAAUCAUGAAAAAAAAAUCAUUUAAAUCAAUUAAAAUUUUAUAAAAAUUUUGAAAACCAGAAAUUUUUAUUAGGUAUAUCUUGAUCUCUUGUUUUUUUUUUAGAAAUUCUCUUCAGUUCCUGUAUUUUAUUUUUCCUGCAAAAAAAAUUUCUUAGCUUAAAGUUUUUAGUCCAUGUUUUUUUACAAUGAAUACAGUUACAAACUAGUCCCCAAUAAUUUUAUUUUUUCAAUUUAGUUCUUAAAUAUCAAAUCAUAAACUUUGUCGAGAUUCUUCAAAUAGAUAUAAAUUAUUAUAGGAAACAAAAGUAAACAAAAUCACAAUAAUAUCAAUCACAGUCAUGAAAAGUAAUCACAUCCAUGACCAAUUGAACCAAUAAAAAAUUAUCAAGAAAUUCAAGUACCGUUACGAGACAAAUUCGUUCUUAUAAUAUCAUAUAUUUAUUAUACUAUUUUUCUGCUUUUAUUUUUCAUCUCAACUUCUUUGGACUAAAAGCAGGAAAUAAUUUUUUGCAGGAGGAAGGAAAUUCUUAGAGUAAAUAUCGAUAUUACAUUAAAUAAAAUCUAUUUUUUAAACGAGCACAUCUAUUUAAAUUUAUCUAACCCUUACUUUAUUCAUCAAUUCAUUUAAAUUAUUUGAUAAAUUCUGAAUGUUAGAUGUCAUCAUCUAGAUUGAUGAAAAUACAAGAAAUUCAAACCUAACCUAGUUUAUUAAAAAAAAAUCAUGUAAAAAAUAAAUUUGAACAUAACAAGACAUUUCUUUAAUAAAUAAGGUGGGAUUUGAGUUUUUUAAGUAAGUGUUUGCAAGAAAAUAUAUAUUAGAAGAAUAUAUUGGAGAAUAACUUAAUAAAUAUAAAUUAAGAACAAUUAGACUUGUAAAGAUAGAUUUGAGAUGGAUCUAAAAUAUAAAAAUAAACUGAAAUAAUUUUUAUAAAAAAAGAAAAUCCUAUUUGUUUGGUUUAUAAAUAUGACACGAAAUCCAACCCAGUCCAUGUUAUCGGGAUGGGAAUUAGUCAAAUAUCCUUACUUCUUUUCCGAGGGACUGGAAACACAUGCUAGAUAUGAUAAUUUUUCUAGUGAGAGUAAUUCCUUUGCAUUUUAUAUUCUAUUUCUCACUACUUUGACAAGAAUCCUGUGGUUAAAACAUCACAAGUUCCUUUUUUAUUAUUAUUAUUAUUAUUAGUGGUUAAAAAGCAAGGAUGAUACUAGUGAUCUAAAAAGGAGAAGUAGCCAAGAAAUAAUGGCAUGAGGUUGUCAAUGGUGCGAAUAUGAAAUGGACUAGCCCAAGACUUAUCCCUGUGCUCAGUUUGAACCCGGCGACAGAAAUUGUGGUGAGAUUAAUGAGUGAAUAUGAAUGAAUGGCUUAACUGAAGGGGAAAGACUCAUUCAACACAGCUUGCCUGAUCCGUAAGGAGUUCAGUGUUCACAACUUCCCAUUAGCACAAAGAAAUUGUUUUGAUGUGACUUUAUUAGAGGAGAGGUCAUGACUCAUGCCUGGCCAAGCCCAUCGUGCAAGCAACCAAGCAACCAGAGAAAGUAGGGCUGUGUGUGUGUGUGUGUGUGUGUGUGUUAUUACAAGAUGGUUUGUUUUCAUGUCGAACAGUCAAUUCAUUACCACUACCCGACUCAUCAGUUUUCCACAGAUUAGAACAGUUCUGCGCGUCAUUGGUCCGAAUUUUCAAACCAAAGACUUUUCUCCAUUCACUUUUUUCACUUUGGACCCUUGUGUGUGCUUCGGGUUGUUGGAAAGCAAGAAGACUUGUACAUUAAAGUCUUCUUUGAAGGGGAAAAAAAAAUGAUGUUUCCUACCUCUUUCUCUUGUUAAAAUCAAAUCAACUCAACCCCAUCUCCACGUUUUCAGUGUUAUAAUAACUGUGUUCUUUCUCUUCAUUUUUUUCCUCAUUCUCCUUGCAGCAUUCUUCUUGCUUGGUGACUUCUUAUAUGCUCCACACUUCCAUUUCAUCAUCAUCAUCAUCUUCAUCUGGGUAUGUCUCAAAUCUUGUUUUCUUUCAGUGAAUCUCUGAGAUAAGUGAAUUGGGAUUUUAGUGGAUUGUUUAAGAUUCGAGGUUGUUUGUUUGUUGACUUCUCUUUUGCUUUUUCCAAAUUACAUAUUGUUCUGGUGGAUCACUAGUAAAAUUGGAUUGUGUUUUUGGUGGAGUAGUUAGACCUUCUUUCUUGGAUAUAUAGAGAUGGGUUUGAGUGUUUUAUUUAGUAGUACAACUUAGCGAGAACCCUUCACUUUGUAGAUUCCGUUUUGGGCCAGGGACAGAAAGUUUGAGGAUUUUUUUCCCCUUGCUAAUGGCAUUGAGCGAGAAA